CACGCCUCGCGCGACUGGCGACGUUAGGAUGGAGCACCAUCGGGAAGCGCGGGACGUAUCUGCCGCGCGCCUGGGCAUAGCUU
rfam:Rhodopseudomonas palustris CGA009 complete genome.